GCCACUAAACCCAGCCCCAUCGCCCUCCUUUUCGUGCUCUGCUCAGCCGUGCUCCCUCCCCCUCUGUUCGUACCUCUCAAAAAAAAAAAAAAAAGGAGAGAAUCAGUUUCAAUUGAAACUGAUUCAUUUUCCUCCAACCCAAAUUUAAGUUGGGCCAACUUAACCAUUUGGGCUUUGGAAAUUGGACUCGGAGCUCAGGACGAACGAACUAAGGAAAAUUCUUAGCAAAAUCGUGGAAGUGAGGUACCGCUGGGAUCGAUGGGAACGAGUAGUGGCGAGGAUUUCACUUUAAUAAUUCCCACCUAGUUUAUGCCUUAAGUUUUAAUAGUUUAAUUAAAGACUUUUUUUGUAAUUUAUGUACCUUUAUUUU